rnacentral:rRNA from 1 species
GAUGAACGCUGGCGGCGUGCCUAAUACAUGCAAGUCGAGCGAACAGAUAAGGAGCUUGCUCCUUUGACGUUAGCGGCGGACGGGUGAGUAACACGUGGGUAACCUACCUAUAAGACUGGGAUAACUUCGGGAAACCGGAGCUAAUACUGGAUAAUAUUUCGAACCGCAUGGUUCGAUAGUGAAAGAUGGUUUUGCUAUCACUUAUAGAUGGACCCGCGCCGUAUUAGCUAGUUGGUAAUGUAACGGCUUACCAAGGCGACGAUACGUAGCCGACCUGAGAGGGUGAUCGGCCACACUGGAACUGAGACACGGUCCAGACUCCUACGGGAGGCAGCCGUAGGGAAUCUUCCGCAAUGGGCGAAAGCCUGACGGAGCAACGCCGCGUGAGUGAUGAAGGUCUUCGGAUCGUAAAACUCUGUUAUUAGGGAAGAACAUACGUGUAAGUAACUGUGCACGCCUUGACGGUACCUAAUCAGAAAGCCACGGCUAACUACGUG